CAUAAUGACUGAUAAUGAUAAGUGAUAAUAAUAACUUUAAUGAUAUGAAGGCUGAUGAAGGUAAUUAUAAACAUUAUUUUGAGUUUGUUUAAUAAAAUAUAGGAUACAAUAUAACUAAGCAAAAUCAAACAGUUUUAGACAACCAAUACAAGAUUUAGAACUUGACAUCGUGAUAAACAAAUUGUACAUUCAGGAACUCGUUUAAAUAUUAUAGGUUGAUUGACGAAUACUCUACAGUUGAUUAGAGCCCAUGAUGAUGCGAAGAUAAUUAAUAUCACCUAACUUCAAGAAACCAGCGUAAAGAAGUUUACAUUCACAACUCAUCUAACCAUUAUAGAUCAGUAAUGUCGUCAUAAUUUAAAUGAACUCACAGAUAGCAAUGGGGCACUGCACCGAAGCAGUAUUACAAAAUAUGUGAAAUAAAACUGUAAUACAAAUUGCUCUAUAAAAUUUAAUAGAAAUAAAUUUAUUUAUGAAAAUUAAGUUAUGAAGUUUUAUUUUUCCUAGGAAAAAAAUAACAUUUAUAUUUUGAUCAAUUUAGAACAUUACAGUUAAAAAAAUAUGUGUUAGAAUAACAUAUUUUUAAUAAAAUUGCAGCUUUUAAUUUUUAUACUUUUUUGCUUUUAUAUCAAUAAGAACUAACGUAAGGAACAAUUCAUAUUUAUACUAUGAAAACACAUGCAUAUUUUUUGAUGUUUUUAAAACCAGUGAAUGAUGUUGAAAUAUACUACACCUAUUAUUCUUAUUAACUAACUUUAAUUACAAACUUACACAUUAUUGUCAUUGGAAAUAAAUUAAUUUGGAUAUUCUA
rnacentral:lncRNA from 1 species